AUUGAACGCUGGCGGCAUGCUUUACACAUGCAAGUCGAACGGUAACAGGCCUUCGGUUGCUGACGAGUGGCGAACGGGUGAGUAAUGCAUCGGAACGUACCCAGUGGUGGGGGAUAAGGCAGCGAAUGCUGUGCUAAUACCUCAUGUGAUCUGAGGAUGAAAGCGGGGGACCGAGCAGCAAUGUUUGGCCUUGCGCCUUUGGAGCGGCCGAUGUCGGAGUAGCUAGUUGGUGGGGUAAAGGCCUACCAAGGCGACGAUCCGUAGCUGUUCUGAGAGGACGACCAGCCACACUGGGACUGAGACACGGCCCAGACUCCUACGGGAGGCAGCAGUGGGGAAUUUUGGACAAUGGGCGCAAGCCUGAUCCAGCAAUGCCGCGUGCGGGAAGAAGGCCUUCGGGUUGUAAACCGCUUUUGGCAGGAACGAAACGGUGUCCGCUAAUACCGGGCGCUAAUGACGGUACCUGCAGAAUAAGCACCGGCUAACUACGUG
rnacentral:rRNA from 1 species